rnacentral:sRNA from 1 species
CAUCACUGCUGCAUACGGAUGUGCGCAGGAUCAAGGAAGAUCGACCUGGCCAGGAUGGCUACCGACAGGAUGUUGGGCAGGUCAAAAAAAGAACCCGCUUCGGCGGGUUUUUU